rnacentral:ncRNA from 1 species
UUUUCCAAAUAGCAAACCUAUUGAAAAAUAGGGACGCAAAGCCGUGGGUCUAAAGAUAUUAUAAGUCUAUGACUGCCAGGUUGCAUCA